UACGUAGGGUGCAAGCGUUAAUCGGAAUUACUGGGCGUAAAGCGUGCGCAGGCGGUUAUGCAAGACAGAUGUGAAAUCCCCGGGCUCAACCUGGGAACUGCAUUUGUGACUGCAUAGCUAGAGUACGGUAGAGGGGGAUGGAAUUCCGCGUGUAGCAGUGAAAUGCGUAGAUAUGCGGAGGAACACCGAUGGCGAAGGCAAUCCCCUGGACCGGCAUUGACGCUGAGGCGCGAAAGCUAGGGGAGCAAACGGG
rnacentral:rRNA from 1 species